UACAGAGGUGGCAAGCGUUGUUCGGAAUUACUGGGCGUAAAGGGCGUGUAGGCGGCCUUCUAAGUCAGACGUGAAAUCCCCCGGCUUAACCUGGGAACUGCGUCUGAUACUGGGAGGCUCGAGUAUGGGAGAGGGAUGUAGAAUUCCAGGUGUAGCGGUGAAAUGCGUAGAUAUCUGGAGGAAUACCGGUGGCGAAGGCGGCAUCUUGGACCAUUACUGACGCUGAAUCGCGAAAGCUAGGGGAGCAAACGGG
rnacentral:rRNA from 1 species